rnacentral:rRNA from 1 species
ACACAUGCAAGUCGAACGGUAACAUGACUAGCUUGCUAGUUGAUGACGAGUGGCGGACGGGUGAGUAACGCGUAGGAAUCUACCCAGUAGCGGGGGAUAAGCCAGAGAAAUUUGGUCUAAUACCGCAUACGCCCUACGGGGGAAAGCAGGGGAUCUUCGGACCUUGCACUAUUGGAUGAGCCUGCGUGAGAUUAGCUUGUUGGUGAGGUAAUGGCUCACCAAGGCGACGAUCUCUAGCUGGUCUGAGAGGAUGAUCAGCCACACUGGAACUGAGACACGGUCCAGACUCCUACGGGAGGCAGCAGUGGGGAAUAUUGCACAAUGGGCGCAAGCCUGAUGCAGCCUUGCCGCGUGUGUGAAGAAGGCCCAAGGGUUGUAAAGCACUUUCAGCAGUGAGGAAAGGUUGUACGUUAAUACCGUGCAACUGUGACGUUAACUGCAGAAGAAGCACCGGCUAACUCCGUGCCAGCAGCCGCGGUAAUACGGAGGGUGCGAGCGUUAAUCGGAAUUACUGGGCGUAAAGCGCGCGUAGGUGGAUUGGUCAGUCAGAUGUGAAAGCCCAGGGCUCAACCUUGGAACUGCACCUGAUAC